rnacentral:rRNA from 1 species
GGACCCGCACAAGCGGUGGAGCAUGUGGUUUAAUUCGAUGCAACGCGAAAAACCUUACCUACUCUUGACAUACUUGGGAGCUCUUGUAAUGGAAGAGUGCCUUUUGGAGCCAAGAUACAGGUGCUGCAUGGCUGUCGUCAGCUCGUGUCGUGAGAUGUUGGGUUAAGUCCCAUAACGAGCGCAACCCUUACCCUUAUUUGCCAGCGAUUCGGUCGGGAACUAUAAGGGGACUGCCGGUGAUAAACCGGAGGAAGGUGAGGACGACGUCAAGUCAUCAUGGCCCUUACGUGUAGGGCUACACACGUGCUACAAUGGGGAGUACAGAUAGACGCUAAAGCGCGAGCUGGUGCUAAUCCUAGAAAGUUUCUCGUAGUCCGGAUUGGAGUCUGCAACUCGACUCCAUGAAGUCGGAAUCGCUAGUAAUCG